rnacentral:rRNA from 1 species
GGAUUGAAGGCUGAAAUUCGCCUUCAUGAAGUCGGAAUUGCUAGUAAUGGCAGGUCAGCAUACUGCCGUGAAUACGUUCCCGGGCCUUGUACACACCGCCCGUCACACCAUGAGAGUUGGAGAUACCCGAAGCCUAUGAGCUAACUUUUAGAGGCAGUAGUCGAAGGUAGAAUCAAUGAUUGGGGUGAAGUCGUAACAAGGUAGC